UACGUAGGGGGCAAGCGUUGUCCGGAAUUACUGGGCGUAAAGCGUGCGCAGGCGGUUUGCUAAGACAGGUGUGAAAUCCCCGGGCUUAACCUGGGAACUGCGCUUGUUACUGGCAGGCUUGAGUGUGGCAGAGGGGGGUGGAAUUCCACGUGUAGCAGUGAAAUGCGUAGAGAUGUGGAGGAACACCGAUGGCGAAGGCAGCCCCCUGGGCUAACACUGACGCUCAUGCACGAAAGCGUGGGGAGCAAACAGG
rnacentral:rRNA from 1 species